rnacentral:rRNA from 1 species
AUUGAACGCUGGCGGAAUGCUUUACACAUGCAAGUCGAACGGCAGCACGGACUUCGGUCUGGUGGCGAGUGGCGAACGGGUGAGUAAUAUAUCGGAACGUGCCCAGUCGUGGGGGAUAACGUAGUGAAAAUUACGCUAAUACCGCAUACGAUCUAUGGAUGAAAGCGGGGGAUCGCAAGACCUCGCGCGAUUGGAGCGGCCGAUAUCAGAUUAGGUAGUUGGUGAGGUAAAGGCUCACCAAGCCGAAGAUCUGUAGCUGGUCUGAGAGGACGAACAGCCACACUGAAACUGAGACACGGUCCAGACUCCUGCGGAAGGCAGUAGUGGGGAAUUUUGGACAAUGGACGCAAGUCUGAUCCAGCCAUUCCGCGGGCAGGACGAAGGCCUUCGGGUUGAAAACUGCUUUUGUACAGAACAAAAAGGUCUCUAUUAAUACUAGGGGCUAAUGACGGUACUGUAAGAAAAAGCACCGGCUAACUACGUGCCAGCCGCCGCCGUAA